UGCUAAUUCUUCAACCUCUCAUCUAAAUCGAACCACAAUUUCGAUUAUUGAUUUGGGGAAACGGCGCCUAACGAGAUUGUCAGUUCAGUGCUCUGAGAAACAAACACAGAAUCUCCGCACUUGCAAGAAUUGCAAGGCCCAGUUCAAUCCUUUGCUCAAUCACCCUCGUGCUUGCCGUUACCACACUGCUCAUUUUGGAGGAGAAACAAGGAGGAAGUUUGAGAGUGUUUAUUCGGGUGGCACCAUGGACACCCCUGAUGG
rnacentral:misc_RNA from 1 species